rnacentral:precursor_RNA from 8 species
GUUUUUAAUGCAAUUGAACUGAUUAUUGUUGUUCUGAAAGAAAACAAAGUAGAUAUUAAAUCAAAUUUCUAUUUUCUUGACUUCAGACCAGCAAUGAGCGGAAAAAGAACAACUUUGUGUG